rnacentral:rRNA from 1 species
CCAGCAGCCGCGGUAAUUCCAGCUCCAAUAGCGUAUAUUAAAGUUGUUGCAGUUAAAAAGCUCGUAGUUGGAUUUCUGCUAGUGUAUGAUGUCCCUUACGGUUCGUUCAUGCACAAGCAUACUUGGGCGGAAUUUGCAUGGCAUUAGGUUGUCGCGCAGGGGAGGCCGAUCGUUUACUGUGAAAAAAUUAGAGUGUUCAAAGCAGGCUUAGGCCAUUGAAUAUAUUAGCAUGGAAUAAUAAGAUAGGACUUUGGUACUAUUUUGUUGGUUUGCGCGCUGGGGUAAUGAUUAACAGGGACAGUUGGGGGUAUUCGUAUUCCAUUGUCAGAGGUGAAAUUCUUGGA